rnacentral:lncRNA from 1 species
AGACCUAUGAAGGUCGAAGGGGAAGAAAAGCUGUAUCGAUUGUUGAGAUCUGGCGACUUGUUUAAAUUUCAUCAGCCUCACUUCUAUGAACUCUCAGGACAGCUCACAGUAUGGCAGCUGACAUUCUACAGAGUGAGCAGGUGAAGGAAAGAAAGAAAAGAGCUGAUUACCAACUCCUACCACUGUUAACCCUCAUCCAGGAACAAGCUUAUGUCUUUAACAUUCUGAGUGGGCUUCAGCAUCCUUGCAUAUGUUCAAUUCUUAAAAACCUGUUGAAAUAAAAGAUCAGGAGACAUAGGAAGGAUGCCAGAAGAGAGCGUGGCCUCACGUGUACCAGCUCUCUGCUCUCCUUUGCCUUGGGACGUUCCAUCCCUGGAAGUUUCCCUGCCCACAUCUUUGUAGAGAGUCCAUUCUCCAAGCUUCAGUGUGUCAUCUGUGAGGACCGUGACCCACCUGGUACAUCGCCUCAGGGCAUUCAUUUCAGGCUCCUUCUAAAUGGCCAAGGAUCAGAGGGAAACAGACCAUUUUCUAUUGUGACAAAGAGAGAACCCAGGAAAGGGGCAGUGUUUUUCCCCUCACAGGUGAUGGAGUUUUUAUAAAGAAUGCAGCGGAUAAUGGCAGGCUUGUCCUCUGAACAGAUGGUGAUGGUCUUGUUGCUAGGAUGAGGCCUCAAGAAUUUAGUUUUUAAUUCCACAUUAUUUGCCUCAGUGCCAUGAAUAUCCCUAGGUUUCCUGAGGCAAAAAUACAGAAAAAAAAUCCACAGAAAGAGUGACACACAGAGAGAGAAAGAGCAAGAGAUGGGGCAACUGAGCAGAGACUGGAGCCCGGUCAAGAGAGGCUUUGGGGAAAAUGCCUGCUCAGCUGUCUGCAAUCACCUGGGUUUAAAGCAGGCAGGAAGGAAGAUUGGUUUGGCAGGAGAACUGGCCCUUUGAUGCCUUCGAUACCACAGAGAAAAAUUCCCAUUUCUUCCCAUUAGAAGUCUGUUUACUUUCCUAAUUAAGAUAAACAUGUUUCUGAAGGAGUUAGCUCUUAUAGCAUGACAUUUAUAAAAUCAACUAUAUAUACACACAAGAAUGUUUGCCAGGAAUUUGGGCUGAUGGUGAUUGUAUGAAGCAUUUUAUAGAAAUAUUUUUAAAUAGUUGCCUUAUUUAAAAAUGAGCGACUUUCAUUCCCUCCAGUCAAUUAAAUAUCUAAUUUCAACUCUCGGAGAUAAUAACUGAAGUAGUUUUUUUAAUAAAUGAAUGAACAGUUAGAAAACUGUUAAACACAUAGCCCUGAAGCAUGAAAAAUAUAUUCGUUGAACAGCUUUAUUCUUUUAUUGUUAAUUUACUUCAGAGAAUAUCCACUCGUGUAAUUUUCAAUAAAGUACUCUUAUUUUGAAGUCU